rnacentral:rRNA from 1 species
UACGUAGGGGGCAAGCGUUGUUCGGAAUUACUGGGCGUAAAGCGCGCGUAGGCGGUCAGCUUAGUCUGCUGUGAAAUCCCGAGGCUCAACUUCGGAAUUGCCUUUGAAACGGGAGCGCUUGAGUCCGAGAGAGGAUGGCGGAAUUCCUAGUGUAGAGGUGAAAUUCGUAGAUAUUAGGAAGAACACCGGUGGCGAAGGCGGCCAUCUGGCUCGGUACUGACGCUCAGGCGCGAAAGCGUGGGGAGCAAACAGG